rnacentral:lncRNA from 1 species
UAUCACCUAUAAUUGUCCCUCCUGCACUUUGCUGAUUUAUUAGUUCUUCUUUCCCCCUCUCUGCCUAACAGUACCACACGGUAACGGAUCAGGGAAAAACAUGAUGACUGCUGAGAUCCUGCGGUGCACGAACAUAUGCUUCGUCGAUCUGCGCGGUGCUCAGCUCUCCACCCGGGUCUGCAUGCGGGAGCCUGGGCUGAGCAGGACCGAUACCGCGUUUCACCUAGGUGGGGUAUUGAUGAGAACUCCCACUGAAGAGCAGAGAUAAAGGCACGGGCGAUGCCUUUCACUCUGAAAAGAAUCCAGCUUUUUCCCCUCUAACUUCUAUCAGCCGUAUGGAGAGCUGUGCAAAACAAACACCGCCUCUGUCAUCACUGUUAGUAAUUCUUUUACAACUCAAACCGCAGACCUGAGAAAGCCUUCCCCUGACAGCAUCCCUCGCUGCCUCAGCAUCGUCCAAGUCCCCUUCAGCCUCGUCCUCUUGCAGCCUGCACAGCAGGGCCUUGAUGCAACCAUCAAUAUCGACUUGUGGACUGGAGAACUGCUUAUUUAUUUCACGUCUGCCCGUAAGCCUGCCUUGUCGCACCCCAGCACCCAG